UAUAAAGUGUCUGAACUAAAAUAAGUGAUAGACUGUAAAUCUAUUUAUGGGCCCAUGCCCCUUUAUAC
rnacentral:tRNA from 1 species